rnacentral:lncRNA from 1 species
UCUGGCUUGAACAGAGGGUGUGUGUUCACAGGUGCCAUGGAGUGACCAUCUUUGGCACUGCAGGCCAGAACAGCAGAAGUCAGUCUGCAGAGAGAGAGAAAUGAAACCAGGUGGAUAAGCAGAGAGGCGCCAAAGGGGUGAGCUGCCUGUGGUCCCAGCUCUCCAGAUGCCAUUUCUGGAUCCAACCUCACUUCCUGCCUGUGGUUUCUGAGAGGUUUCCUCAUAUCCUUUCAACUCAGUGCCUUCCUUUUUGCUUAUUUAUUGGGUUUCUAUUACAUGCAUCCAGAAGAACGUCCGCGAAGGCCAUGACUCACAGUUUACGGAGCGCCUUCACAUGUAAGCUUGUUUGGAUUCUGCUUCUCACGCUACUUUGGGGAGAAGGCAGGGGAGGUGUAGGCAUCUGUGUUUUAUGGCCAAAGAAGCCCAGAUGAUGACUGAUGACCCAAUGACUGCUCAAGGUCUUCCGGGCAGGGAGGCAGGUCUUUGACCCAGACCCAGCUUUGCCUCCACCACACCCUUUUGACACUGGAGUUGACCCUCCAGGAAGAAGGACUCUGGCUCCAAGGUGUAAUGAAAAGCCAUGUGCUGCGUUCCUAAACAUCACCAGAUAUUUCCAGGGGAAAAUAGUAGCUUCAGUGUGACCAUUAGCGGCCACACCUUCGUGAGCCUCGGCAGGCAGAGCCGCCAUCCCUCUGACUUUGUAACAAGGUACAGACAGAAAGUGGAACCAGAGGAAGAUUUUCCGUGAGAUAACAUCCACUGCCAAUCCUCCUCUUUUCGUUUGUGAGCCGCUGCCACAGCAUGGCCAUUGACAGAUGAGUGGGCCCCCCGGUACAUAGUUGUGUAUUCUUCGUUGUGGGUUCUUCUAGUUGUGGCAUGUGGGACGCCGCCUCAGCGUGGUCCGAUGAGCAGUGCCAUGUCCGCGCCCAGGAUUCGAACUAACGAAACACCGGGCCGCCUGCAGCGGAGCGCGCGAACUUAACCACUCGGCCACGGGGCCAGCCCUAGAAUGCAAGACUUUUUAAAUGAAAUAGUUGACAACAAUGAAGAUUCUCUCGUGUUUUUCCUGUAUCAGAUCAAAACUUUUCAUCUACGCCGAGGUUUAAUGAGAUGAAAAAAAUUCCCCCAAAAUCAAAACACAUAGAAUCCAACUUCAGGAACAAGGCAGACAUUCUAAGUUGAAUGUUUUUGAUUGGUGCUGCCAAGAACAGGAGCAGUGUUUCAAAAACAUAUGACUUU